rnacentral:ncRNA from 1 species
UUUAAAGGCAAACCUGUUGAAAGGCAGGGACGCAAAGCCAGAAGGGGCUAAAGUCAGCAAGUUUGACCAGGUCAGCCGGUUGC